rnacentral:rRNA from 1 species
AUUGAACGCUGGCGGAAUGCUUUACACAUGCAAGUCGAACGGUAGAGGGGGGCAACCCCCUUGAGAGUGGCGAACGGGUGAGUAAUAUAUCGGAACGUGCCCAGUCGUGGGGAUAACGUAGCGAAAGUUACGCUAAUACCGCAUACGAUCUAAGGAUGAAAGCGGGGGAUCGCAAGACCUCGCGCGAUUGGAGCGGCCGAUAUCAGAUUAGGUAGUUGGUGAGGUAAAGGCUCACCAAGCCAACGAUCUGUAGCUGGUCUGAGAGGACGACCAGCCACACUGGAACUGAGACACGGUCCAGACUCCUACGGGAGGCAGCAGUGGGGAAUUUUGGACAAUGGACGCAAGUCUGAUCCAGCCAUUCCGCGUGCAGGAUGAAGGCCCUCGGGUUGUAAACUGCUUUUGUACGGAACGAAAGGUUUCUAUUAAUACUAGGAGCUCAUGACGGUACCGUAAGAAUAAGCACCGGCUAACUACGUGCCAGCAGCCGCGGUAAAGUGACU